UCGAACGAUGAACCACUUCGGUGGGGAUUAGUGGCGAACGGGUGAGUAACACGUGGGCAAUCUGCCCUUCACUCUGGGACAAGCCCUGGAAACGGGGUCUAAUACCGGAUACCACUACCGCAGGCAUCUGUGGUGGUUGAAAGCUCCGGCGGUGAAGGAUGAGCCCGCGGCCUAUCAGCUUGUUGGUGAGGUAAUGGCUCACCAAGGCGACGACGGGUAGCCGGCCUGAGAGGGCGACCGGCCACACUGGGACUGAGACACGGCCCAGACUCCUACGGGAGGCAGCAGUGGGGAAUAUUGCACAAUGGGCGAAAGCCUGAUGCAGCGACGCCGCGUGAGGGAUGACGGCCUUCGGGUUGUAAACCUCUUUCAGCAGGGAAGAAGCGAAAGUGACGGUACCUGCAGAAGAAGCGCCGGCUAACUACGUGCCAGCAGCCGCGGUAAUACGUAGGGCGCAAGCGUUGUCCGGAAUUAUUGGGCGUAAAGAGCUCGUAGGCGGCUUGUCACGUCGGGUGUGAAAGCCCGGGGCUUAACCCCGGGUCUGCAUUCGAUACGGGCUAGCUAGAGUGUGGUAGGGGAGAUCGGAAUUCCUGGUGUAGCGGUGAAAUGCGCAGAUAUCAGGAGGAACACCGGUGGCGAAGGCGGAUCUCUGGGCCAUUACUGACGCUGAGGAGCGAAAGCGUGGGGAGCGAACAGGAUUAGAUACCCU
rnacentral:rRNA from 1 species